rnacentral:rRNA from 1 species
AUUGAACGCUAGCGGGAUGCUUUACACAUGCAAGUCGAACGAGUGGCGGACGGGUGAGUAAUAUAUCGGCACGUGCCCAGUAGCGGGGGAUAACUACUCGAAAGAGUGGCUAAUACCGCAUACUCUUGGAGCGGCCGAUAUCGCAUUAGCUAGUUGGUGGGGUAAAGGCUCACCAAGGCAACGAUCCGUAGCUGGUUUGAGAGGACGACCAGGCACACUGGGACUGAGACACGGCCCAGACUCCUACGGGAGGCAGAAGGGGGGAAUGUUGGAAAAUGGGUGAAACCCGGACCCAGCCAUCCCGCGUGUAUGAGAAGGCCUUCCGGUUGGAAAGUACUUUUGGCAGAGAAGCGGUAUCUGCAGAAUAAGCACCUGCUAACUACGUGCCAGCAGCCGCGGUAAUAC